rnacentral:RNase_P_RNA from 1 species
GAACAAUUGCGGACAUUAAUUUGAAAGAAUUUGCCCGAGGAAAGUCCGAGCUCCACAGGGCAGGAUAACGGCUAACGGCCGCCAGGGGCGACCCUAGGGAAAGUGCAACAGAAAUAUACCGCCAAAAUAGAUUUUGGUAAGGGUGGAACGGCGAGGUAAGCGCUCACCAGCAUGUGGGAGACUACGUGGCUCUGCAAACCCUAUCCGGAGCAACACCGCAGAGAGAUUUUUUCGCAUUUGCCCGAUGCUUCUCGAGAAGGUGGCAUUGAGCUGAUUUGGUAACUUUCAGCCAAGAUAGAUAAUUGUUCUCGACAGAACUCGGCUUAUAGGUUUGGUC